UGUAUAUUUAACGCAAGAUAUAUAUAUUAAUCUAUAUAAUCUGUUUUUUUUUCUAUUGCAAGAAUUAAACAAUCAAGAAAAAAAUAUAUAUAUAUAUACACAUAUAUAUCUUCGAUUAUCGAUUGAGCUCUAUCUUUAUCCUUUCUUUAUUUCUCUCUCUCUUAUCGGUUCGGAAGGAAAUGAUCGGUAAGCAUAGUACACGCGGAUUCUAGUUGAAAGCAAUUCCAUCUGCGGUGGCGAGGCUUGAAAUUGCUUCGUAUUGCGUUCAGAGAAAGGUAUACGGUGUACUUACACGAUCGUUCGAGUUUUUUGCAUACUUGGGAAAAUAAACUGCAGAAGUGAAUGUUAAUAAACGAAGGAUUUCUCUUUUACGCUAUGAGACGAAUGAAUAAAUAGAAUAGAUGAUCAUUUAAGGAAUAAUAGAAUUGAUGAAUAAUGAUGAUCGUUCGUGAAGAUAUUUUGGUCUUUAACGAUGAUUCUUUUUGUUGAAAUAGUACUGCUAUAUUGAUUAAUAAUUUGAAUGUACUUGUUUAUUGAUAUUAAUAUUUUAUGUAUAAUUAUAUUUCGAAAAAAAAAAUUAUUAGAAAUCGUAAAAGUUAUCAUAGAAUUCAGACUAAAAGUCAGUACAUGCUAACCUACAUCCUGGAAAGGUCGAGGGAAACUGAGUUUAGUAUGGCCGACGGAGCUCUCAUUUCCGGAACCGCUUCUUAACUUCCGUCAUAGGACUGAUGGCAUAAUUGCAGAUGGAUUUGGUGCUCACCGAUUAUCAACGAGUAAUAUCGAUCGAUAAAAAUGCGACAUUUGUUGCCGUUUUACGUGUGAAAUUCGAGAAAAUAAAAUAUUAGGGAAUGAAAAAAAUAUUAAGAAAAAAAUUAGAAAAAUUUUUAAAAAUAUUAAAAUUAUAUACUUUGACUGAAAAAUAAUUAUUAAUGAAAUUUCAGUUUGUGUAAUACUGACAAGUGAACGACUCGAAUGCGAAUCAGCGUGCUGAGAAAAAGAUUCACAAUUAUCACAAAAGCGAUUGCUCUAACGAUUGUGAUGGUUUUUUUGAAUCCGGUAAUUAACGCAAUGAUGAUCCUACAUUUCCUAGUUAUUGUGCCUUCGUUUUUCCCUUUGUGCGUUUCACGUUCGGUUGUUCAUUGUAUCACGUUCUCACGACGUGCAAUGAAACAAACAGGCGCACGGCGUUACGUUCUUCCAACGUAACUUACAAUAAGAUUUGUUCUCCCAUCUUUUUCAAAGGAAGAGAAUUUUGCAAUUUAUCCGAUGCCCGAUAUACUUGAUUUAUACUUGAUAAUCUUUUUUAUGUUUAUUAUAUUAUUAAUAAUUACUGGUCUUCUAACCAUUUCUUAAUGAGAUAUAAUAAUAUGGCUUCUCAGAAUUAAAUGUAUAACGUAUAUAUAAUAAAGGUAUAUAUAUAAUUAAUAUCCUUUUCACUCCAUCGCGCAUAUAUCAAUGAAAAAAAAAAUAAAUAAAUAAAAAAAUAAAAAGCAAAAAAUUCGAAAGAUAUAGAAAAAUAUAAUGAAAUAGAUAAUAAUGUUAAACGGUUAAAAUUGAUUGAAAUAUGAAUAUGAAACAAUAAUUCAUUUCUAAAAUUAUUUUAAAACAAAUACAUAUUUCAUACUGAUUGCAAAAAUAUAAAAAUGUAAUAAUAUUGAUUAAAAUCAUAUAAUAUUACGAAUUACGUAAUAAUCAUAGAUUAAUUUACCAAAUAUUAUGAAACUAGUAAAACAAUAUUGAUUAGUAAAGCAAUUUGUGAUAAAUAUAGCGUACGUGUCAAAUAAAGCGUGGAACGAUAUUCGCGGAAGAUCAUUAACACCUAAAAAGUCUAUUGCUUUCUAAUAGGAGGAAAUAGUGAAAUUGCUGUAAGAUUUGUUUAGCUCGUGUGAACUUCGAUUUGUUCUCUAUCUCAGUUUCCAUAAUCUGAUUUUCAACCAUUUAUAUUUAAUUGUUUUUUAUUUAUCUUUAUUAAUUAUAUCUAUAUUAAAAAUUAAAAAAUGAUCGUGCCAUAUAAUAUAUAUAAACUCUAUCAAUUCUGUUUAUUUCGAAUAUCUAUCCUAAAAAUAAUAUAUAAUUUUCAAUUUGAUCAAUUAAAAAAUUGCUAAAUAAAACAAAAAAAAAGCUUUAAUCUUUUUGAUCUUGUCACAUCAUAUUAUAAUAAUGUAAUCAAUAUUUGUCAAGUAACACCAGUUAACCGCUUUCGACUACGGUAUUACAUUACGUCAUUCGCACUUGUUAGAAACUUAACACAUGUCUCGCGUUUGAUUUCUUGAAUGAAUGAUUGCCCAUCGGAUAUAAGCGGAACCAAUAAAACACCAAUCAUAGAAAUGACAGUUUCAGCAAUGUAAUUACGAGUUACGAAAUAAACCUGAUAUUGCGCGACACUAAUUCCACCUGUGUGCCUUUCUGCGGACUUUUAGGGGCAUGCGAGUAGAAAAGUUGAUCAAACGAAAAAAUCGAAGAUUUUUCACCUUUUUUUGUUUUUUAAUGUAGCAACAAAAAUAUUGAGUAAAAAUACUAAAUAAAUAAUACUAUCAGAAAUAUUCAUCUUCAUUAUAGAAAUAUUUUUUAUAUAAAAUUAUUAAUCGUAAAAUUUUUAGGUUAAGUUAUGCAUUAAAUGCAAAAUAACUUUUGAUCUUUUUUUUAAUUGUAUCUAUUUAUUUUUUUAUAUUUAUAAAGAACUUUUAUCUAUUUUCAUUCUAUUUUCUAUAGUAUCAAUAAAUAUUUAAUUUUAAUUUUUAAAGUGUAGAGUAAUAGAAGAUUGAUAGAGAAAAACGAUAGGAUUGAAUUAACAUUGAUAUUGAAUAAUGCAGAGAUCUUUGUCACAAGAAAAUUCUUCAUUCACUGUGGAGUGUGCUAGGUUGUGAGAUGGAGCGGAUAACAGUACUUCGAUGGUUCGUUUCGCAUACUGUUCCAACUGGAGGCACGAACCGUUACAAGAAUAUGAAAAGUCUGACAGAUCGUGAAGAUUCGUAUAAACAGUUUUCAUGAGAUAAAAAUCGAAAAAUAUAAACAAUUUAUCCAAAAAGAAAUAAUAAAAAAUUUUAUGUUUCGUAAAAUUGUAUUUUGUAUUUUUGGAAAUAAAAAUAGAGAUGAUUCUUCUUUUUCAAUU